GGAUAACAUUUGGAAACAGAUGCUAAUACCGCAUAGAUCCAAGAACCGCAUGGUUCUUGGCUGAAAGAUCUCGUAAGCUAUCGCUUUUGGAUGGACCCGCGGCGUAUUAGCUAGUUGGUGAGGUAAUGGCUCACCAAGGCGAUGAUACGUAGCCGAACUGAGAGGUUGAUCGGCCACAUUGGGACUGAGACACGGCCCAAACUCCUACGGGAGGCAGCAGUAGGGAAUCUUCCACAAUGGACGCAAGUCUGAUGGAGCAACGCCGCGUGAGUGAAGAAGGCUUUCGGGUCGUAAAACUCUGUUGUUGGAGAAGAAUGGUCGGCAGAGUAACUGUUGCCGGCGUGACGGUAUCCAACCAGAAAGCCACGGCUAACUACGUGCCAGCAGCCGCGGUAAUACGUAGGUGGCAAGCGUUAUCCGGAUUUAUUGGGCGUAAAGCGAGCGCAGGCGGUUUUUUAAGUCUGAUGUGAAAGCCCUCGGCUUAACCGAGGAAGCGCAUCGGAAACUGGGAAACUUGAGUGCAGAAGAGGACAGUGGAACUCCAUGUGUAGCGGUGAAAUGCGUAGAUAUAUGGAAGAACACCAGUGGCGAAGGCGGCUGUCUGGUCUGUAACUGACGCUGAGGCUCGAAAGCAUGGGUAGCGAACAGGAUUAGAUACCCUGGUAGUCCAUGCCGUAAAACGAUGAAUGCUAGGUGUUGGAGGGUU
rnacentral:rRNA from 1 species